GGCCGCCGUGGCCGAGUAGUAACGCUCGCGAUUUUCAUUCGUUAUGUUGUGGGUUCGAGGCCCACCAUGGUCU